rnacentral:rRNA from 1 species
UACUCGAGUGGCGAACGGGUGAGUAACACGUGGGUGAUCUGCCCUGCACUUCGGGAUAAGCAUGGGAAACUGGGUCUAAUACCGGAUAGGACGAUGGUUUGGAUGCCAUUGUGGAAAGUUUUUCGGUGUGGGAUGAGCUCGCGGCCUAUCAGCUUGUUGGUGGGGUAAUGGCCUACCAAGGCGUCGACGGGUAGCCGGCCUGAGAGGGUGUACGGCCACAUUGGGACUGAGAUACGGCCCAG